rnacentral:tRNA from 1 species
UCCCUGGCAGUCCAAUGGUUAAGACUCUGCACUUCCAAUGCAGGGUGGGUGCGGGUUCCAUCCCCGGUCUGGGAA